AUGCUGCGCGCAUCCGUCCCCGCCGCGGCAACGCCUGCGCACGCGCCGGGGAGCGGAGCGGCGGGCAGCGUGCAGGGCCAGCUCGGCUACGGCGUCGCCAUCACCGUCGGCGUCCUCGUGCUCGUCUCCACCGUCAUGCUCGCCUCCUACAUCUGCUUCCGCGCCAAGGCCCGCGCCGCGGGGUCGCUUCAUCGACUGGUCGACGCCGACACCCACCAUCACCAGUCCGCCGCCGUCGUAGUGCUGGCGGGCCUCGACGGCCCCACCAUCGACGUGCUCUACCCCAAGUUCUUCCUGCGCGCUGGCUCGCGUGACGGCAAAUCGGGCGCGAGCGCGACGGUGGCAGACGGGCCGUGCGCCAUCUGCCUCGGGGAGUUCGAUGGCGCUGCGACGCUCCGGCGCGGGUCCCGGUGCGCGCACUGCUUCCACGCGGGGUGCGCCGAACGGUGGCUGCGCGUGAGCGCCACCUGCCCCGUGUGCCGCGACUCGCCCGUGCCGUCGCCGGCCGCCACAGCCCUCGCCGCGCACGCUCGGUGA
rnacentral:rRNA from 1 species